GGCGCGGUUUCUUCGGCCUGGCCAGUCGGUCUAGGAGUUUAUGGCGAUACGCAUAUUUCUCUUAAGUGCAAAUGUCUCGAUGAUGAUCCCAGACGCGCCGAAACAGGUUUCGCUCGGACGCCGAUCUCGUGAAUACGAGUCGCGAUCUCAGGAUCGCUUGCAAACAUGACGAUGCAGUGGUGUCGGUCCUCCAACCGGCAAUUAGCACAGAAUACACAUAAAUGUCACAUGUAAUUACACGGUACCGUUUACAUCGAGUGAGCAUUAAUGGACGAACGGCGAAAGGGAAAGUAUACGUUUCAGUUUUUGGAAGCCAAAUUAACACGAGUCAAAGGCUUUUAACCUUUCAUUAUGUAUCCGUGGAUGGACAUCGUGAGCGAACGUCAAAAACACUGAAAGCCACGUGACUAUGGCGCGAGAAUUAUUUAAAGGAUAUAAGUGAAUCGGCAAAUGAUAGAGAAAUAUUGGCAUGUAUUUUAUUGGAUUAAUAACGGUAAAUGUGCAAAGUCAAUUAUGCUAGGCAAUAUAGGCAAAUGACCGCAGGGUAAUAAAUAAAUUGACAUUUACAGGAUGUCAAGAAAGAAUUGGAGAUGUUAAGACG